rnacentral:misc_RNA from 1 species
GAUGAAGAACGUAGCGAAAUGCGAUAAGUAAUGUGAAUUGCAGAAUUCAGUGAAUCAUCGAAUCUUUGAACGCACAUUGCGCCCCCUGGUAUUCCGGGGGGCAUGCCUGUCCGAGCGUCAUUACAACCCUCAAGCUCAGCUUGGUGUUGGGCCCCGCUGCCCCGGCGGGCCCUAAAGUCAGUGGCGGUGCCGUCCGGCUCCGAGCGUAGUAAUUCUUCUCGCUCUGGAGGUCCGGUCGUGUGCUCGCCAGCAAACCCCAAUUUUUUUCAGGUUGACCUCGGAUCAGGUAGGGAUACCCGCUGAACUUAAGCAUAUCAAUAAGCGGAGGA